GACGAACGCUGGCGGCGUGCUUAACACAUGCAAGUCGAACGAUGAAGCUGGAGCUUGCUCCAGUGGAUUAGUGGCGAACGGGUGAGUAACACGUUAGCAAUCUGCCCUUGACUCUGGGAUAACUGCGGGAAACUGUAGCUAAUACCGGAUACGACACCUUGGGGCAUCCCGGGGUGUGGAAAGAAUUUCGGUCAAGGAUGAGCUCGCGGCCUAUCAGCUUGUUGGUGAGGUAAAGGCUCACCAAGGAGACGACGGGUAGCCGGCCUGAGAGGGUGACCGGCCACACUGGAACUGAGACACGGUCCAGACUCCUACGGGAGGCAGCAGUGGGGAAUAUUGCACAAUGGGCGAAAGCCUGAUGCAGCAACGCCGCGUGAGGGAUGACGGCCUUCGGGUUGUAAACCUCUUUUAGCAGGGAAGAAGCGAAAGUGACGGUACCUGCAGAAAAAGCACCGGCUAACUACGUGCCAGCAGCCGCAGUAA
rnacentral:rRNA from 1 species